CCUUUUAUUCAUUAUUUAUUUAAAAACCUCUUUUUUACUCAUUCUAAAUUUUAUUAUUUGUUUAUUUAGUAGCCUCCUUUUCAUUCUAAAUUUUACUUAUUUAUUGCAUCUUGAUUGGAGCCUCCUUUUAUGUAUUCAUUUAUUUUCCAACCUAUACACUGUUUGUUUGUAUACCUGUUUAUUAUGUUCUGAUUGUAGCCUCCUUAAUUCACUCCAAACUCUGUUUGUUUGUUUGUUUGUUUGUUUAUUUAUUUAUUUAUUUAUUUAUUGUGUCCAGAUACAUAAGGGCAAACAGGAUAUAUUUAUAUUUAUUUAUUUAUUUAGUAUGUCCUAAAUAGAGUAUUUGUCUACCUCAUGUACUAUAUCUAUUUAAUUAUUUGAUAUCUCCUUAUUGCAGCCGCCUCCUCAUUUAUUUAUUUGUUUUAUUUAUUUAUUUGUUUCCUUUGUAUCCCACUGUACCUCUCUCUGUCAUCUUCUCCUGGGUGUCAUCCCCCCUCCCUCUUCCUCAUCUAUCCCUUCUUCCCUAGUCCACUGAUAGGGCAGGUGUUCCUCACCUACUGUCUCACUAUCAAGUCUUAUCAGGACUGCCUAGAUCCUCUUGCUCUGUGGGCUGGCUAGAUCUCCCCAAGAAGGAGAAGUUUUCAAGGAAGAGGCAACCAAGUUUAUGUAAGAGACUGUCUCUUCUCUUAUUAGGAAACCAACAUUUUAAAUGUCUUUCAUUCAUUCAUUCAUUUUAUUUUUUAAAAUUUAUUUAUUGCAUCCUGAUUGUAGUCUUUUAUUUAUUUUUGUUUAUUUUAAAACUUAUUUAUCUACUUAUUUACAUAGCUACGUAUUUAUUUAUUAUGUCCUGAUUAUAGCAUCCUCCUCUUCAUUUAUUCUAAACUUAUUUAUUAUAUGUUCUGAUUGUAGCCUCCUUUAAUUAAUUCUAAAUUUAUUUACUUACUUAUUUAUUGCAUUGUUGUCACAGCUUCCUUCACAUACAUUAUUUAUUUUAAAACAUUUGUUGCAUACUGUUUGGGGCCUCCUUAUUUACUCAUCUUUAUUUUAAAACUUUACCUUUUUUUAUUAUGUCCUAGUUACAGCCUCCUAUAUUUAUUUAUUUAUUGCAUCCUGAUUGCAGACUCUUUUAUUAUAAAACAUUAUUUACAUAUUGCAGCUUCUUUUAAUUAUUUAGUCUUUAUUUUUAAAAUUAUUUAUUUAAGUUGUUUAUCGAUUAUUCAUCUAUCUAGUUACCUAUCUGUUUUGUCCUGAUUGCAGUUUCCUCUUUUCUUCAUUUUUUCCAAAUUUAUUUAUUUAUGUAUUUAUUCAUUCAUUUAUUUAUGUAUUUAUUGCUUCUGAUAGUAGGCGCCACUGUUUUCUUUAUUCUUAUUUAUUUUAAACUUAUUUACUUACACUUAUUUCUUACACUCAAAAUAUGAGAUAGCAUAUCUAAAAAUAUUUAUUUACAUAUUUAUUUUCAGCCUUUUAUUUAUUCUUAUUUAUAACAUACUUAUUACAUACUGAUUGCGCCCUCCUUUCCCUUAUUUAUUCCUAUUUUAAAAGUAUUUAUUUACUGCCCUAAUUGCUGCAUGCUCCUAUUUUAUUCUAAAUUUUAUUUGCUUAUUUUUUAUUGCAUUCUGAUUGCAGCAUUCUUUUAUUUAUUCGUGAUUAUUUCUACUUAUUUUGUCUUCUAAAUUUAUUUAUGUAUUUAUUGCAUCUUAUUCAUUUUAAAACGUGUUUAUUUAUGUACUUGUUUAUUUACUUGUCUAUUAUUUAUUAUGUCCUGAUUGCAGCCUCUUCUUUUAUUUAUUUUCAUUUUUUUGUUUGUUUAUUAUGUCCUGAUUGCAGCUUCCAGUCCUUUUCCUUCUUAUUUAUUAUAAACUUUUUUACUUAUUUUUAUUACACCACUAAUAGUAUGACAUUGCAUAUCUAAAAAUAUAAGAGGGCAGAAAUUUAUUUACUUUCAUUUAUUUUUACCAUUAUUAAUUUUUUACAUCCUGAUUGUAGUGUCCUUUUCUCUUUUAUUCUUUGUUUUCAAACUUAUUUUUGUCCUGAUUACAGUCUUUGUCCUAUUAUUUAUUUAUUUCAAUCUAUUUAAAAUUAUUUAUUUCAUCUGGAUUGCAACCUCCUUUAUUUUUUUUUUACCCAUUUUCAAAUUCAUUACAUCCUGAUUGCAGCCUCCUCUUUUAUUUGUUUAUUGUGAAAUGUAUUCAUUUAUUACUACUUGUACGAAAUAAAUGCCUCUAUUUAUUUUUAUGUAUUUUACAAAUUAUUUAUUUGGUUGUUUAUUAUAUCCUAUUGCAACCUUUUUUCCUCUCAGGACCUCCUCACUCUUUCCCCAUUAUCCCUUCUUUUCAUAGAAGCUGGAGGUCCCCCAUUGUUACCAACCCACACUGGCACAUUAAAUUACUAUAGGACUAGGUGCAUUCUCACACUGAGGCCAGGCAAGGUUAGUCCAAUUAUUGGAAUAGAUCAAAGGGACAGCUCAGAGUCAGAAAGGGUCUCUGAUCCAAUUAUUGGAGAGUCCAAGUGAAGACCAAGUUGUGCAUCUGCUACAUGUACAGGGUACUUGUACAGUACACACAUGCUCUUUGCUUUGUGAUUCAGUCUCUUAGCUCCAGAGGCCUCAGAUUAGUAUUUCUGUCUAAACAGCAUUUGAUUACUGAAGAAAUAAAAGAAAUUUGAAUACUAAAGAAAUAAUAACUUUGUGUAGAUUGCCUGAGAUUCCUACUUUUGCAAAAAUACCAACUACCUUCAACUACUAUACACACAUGAUAUUACUAUUAAUGUUUAACCAGUCUUUUGGAAGUAUCAAACCCUAUUUAUUUUAUAUUUAAUUUUUAUGAUGAGGUUUAUUUUACCUUGGUUUUGUUUUUAUACAAGUACAGUUUCCUAUGUGCAGGAUUUCACACUAAAUUUUCUUAAUAUAUUUUACUUAAAAUUUAAGAUGUUUUUUUGUGGUAAAAUGUAAUGUUGUAUACGUUUCAACUAUAUGUUUUAAGCAUUUCACUAAUAGAGACUUUGUUAACAUGUUUAUAGAAAAAAAAAGCAAUUUUUGUUUUUAUGUUUAAGACAGUUGUCCAAUAGUAAUUCAGACUUUUGAAUGUUUAUGAGUUGUAGAAAAAGGAAGUGCAUUUUACUGUUAAAAUAUUAUUUGACCUUUAUGUAGGGCUCAUUGUAGUGGUGUGAUAGAGAAAGCCAAAAUACCUGAACAUUGUGUUAACAAAGCCAUCUUUUAUUAUAUGUGUAUAUUUUACCAUACUAUCCAAUCAGAAGUCUUUUAAGCUACUAAGCUAUUUAUGAGUAUAAUUAGUAAAAGCAUGAAAGUAUCUCUAUUAUAAAAAAUAUAUAUGUGAUAUAAAAGGCAUGUAAUUUCACUUUAUUUUUCUAGUCACUAAUAUUUAUGUGAUUUAGAUACCUCAAUUACAUGAUUCUCUAGUCAUCUGAUAUAUAACAAAAAUGUAACUUUGUAAGUAAUGAAGUAUUUUUAUAUCAAACAUCUAAAAUUUCUAGAAGUAUUGAGACUCAAAUUUUAAGCUUUUAAAUGUACUAUGAAUACUAUCUAGUCUUUUACAUUUAAGAUGAUAAAUUGAUACUUUAUAAAGGGAUCAUGGAGUCAAAAUUUUUCUUAGUUGUUAGAAUCCCAGAGAAGAAAGAUAUAAAUACUAUGCAUUUACUCUAUUCUCUUAGAAGAAUAGUUGACCAUUUUGUCAUGUGAGUUGCACAUUAAAAAAAAAAUGACUUGACAGGCAAUUCAGUUGGCUUGUUGAGCACUAAUGAAGUUAUUGAUGCACCUCUUUUAUCUAUGUUUUGUCAAUUUUCAUGAAUACAUUAUGUACUACCUCUUGGAACACUACAAAGCUUUGUAUGUGUUCCCUGGUUGCAUGACAAUAUUCAAGACAACUUUGUAAAUAAUAGGCAAAUAUAAAAUUUUAAUGUCUAGUCUUUCUAGAUAUAUAGCGUGUCAAAGGGUAAAUUUUGUAAAUACAUCAUUGUAAACUUUAAUAGCUUUGUAAAAAAAAAUUUGAGACUUCUCCAUUUUAUGUUGCUUGUUACUUGUUAACUGGUUGGCUAGGAUUAUGAGGCUUUUUAAUUUUUUUAGUUUUUGGAGGUAGCAUUUCUCUUUGUGGCCUUGGCUGUCCUAGAUACUCACUUUGUAGACCAGACUGAUGUCCAACUCACAGAGGUUCAUCUGCCUCUGCCUCCCAAGUGCUAGGAUUACAGGUGUGCACCAUUGUGCUAUGCCCAAUGAGAAUUUUUAAAAGCAUAUUUAAUUUUAACUGAUUUCUUAUCUCAAGAAAAAUAUUCAUUAACCAUAGGGUAGGGUAAGGCUUAUAUUUUACACAGAUAAAUAUUAUUAAGGGCACAAAUUAUAAUUCUGUGAUUGUACUAAAGAAAGACCAUUAUGUAACUAUUUUGUUGUAGACUGUAUAGGAAACAUCUUGAAAUAAUUUCUUAUGCAUCCUUCAAUUAAUAAAAUAUUAUUUACUUUGUAUGACAGCAUUAAAGACAAGUUUAAGUAACUGAUAUAUGUAUACAUAUAACUACUAUAUGUAUAUAUAUAUAAAGCUGAUCUAUAUGUCAGUUUGAAAAAUCCAUUUUUUUUCAGAUGUAAAUAUUACAUUGUAACCUAACAUUAAAAAAAUUAUAUCUUUAAAUGUUUUUUAAAUGCAAUAGAUAAGUAUUGUUUGGGCUAUCAAGUAGAAAACUGCUUAAGCACAGUUUAUCAUGUAGAGAAGAAUUCUCUAAUUCUUUGUAUACUGUUUACAUAAAGAAAAAUUGCUUACUGCAAAUGAGUUUUUUUUUUUUAAUCUUCAUGAAGAAAGAUGGAAGGGAAAAUGAAAAUCUAAAUUAAUGAGAGAACUGCUAAAAUCAUGGUAACUUGAUUAUUUAUCCUCUGUACAUGUAUUUACUUUUAUCUGUAGUUAUAAUCACAUUACAUCUUAUGUUAUAGGAGUAUAUAGAUCACUUAGUAUUCCUCUUUAAUUGUGUAUAUAUUGUUGAUUUAAAUUUGUAUUUCUGCUUUACAAAUUGUAUAAAAUUAGCAUUUUAUUUCUAAUUCAGGUAAUUCUGUAUUCUCAAUGUUAUUAUCAACCACGUUUUGUUGUAAUUACGGAAUGCAUAGUUUGUGUUUUUAUCUAAUCUUUAUUAUAUACAAUAUUAAAACUAGUUAAUUUUUGAAAAAUUUGUAUCUACAACUUUUACAGGUAAAUAUCUAUUGUUUUGUCUAAUAUAUUGUAAGAAAAAAUAACCUGUAUGACAUUAAAGACAAUACAAAUGUUAAUCCCAGAUCCAUACUCAGUUUGAGGUCAGACUUGCCCCAUAUGUCCCUGUGUCAAAAGAAAGUGUGAAAACAAGGAAAAACUGAACACUUCAAUCAAUGUAGAGAACGUAAGGAUUGUAGUUUAAGUUGAAUGUAAUUUAACAGUGAAAUAUCAUUUGUCUACAGAAGGGGGUUUGCUUUAUUUAAUUGAAAAGGGGGACAAUUUGCUUACAUGUAGAUAUAUUUUAUUUCUUAACUAAAAUGGAUAAUUAAGAAAACCCUAAGUAUACAUAUGGAGUAGCAUUCUGACAUUUAUUACUUUUGUAUACAAUGUGUGUUACUUUUCAGUAAUGAUUGAAGAUUUGUUCAAGUGAACUAAACAGUGUAUACAUGCUUGGACUUAUCACAUGAGACCAUCUAGAAUGAACAUUUAAUGCAAACAAAGACCAUCUUCAAGAAGAAUGAUAAAAUGUUAACACUUUUAUCUGCUCUUGUAAUUAUGAGGGGAUUUGCAAAUAAGAGUCUAAGCAAGAAGAAAAUAUGAAAAAGACAAUUUGUACCAAUACCUUUGAUGUCAACAUGGUAGUGCUGGGUUGCCGUAUCCAACUUUGUAUUCUUAGAAGCCCUUAUGAACAGUUUUGAAAAAUUUCUGUGAAGAAUCUUAGACACUCUUGAGUCAGCAAAGAGUAUGGCAAUGACCAAUGGAAGAUAAGUAAAGAUGGAAUUUCAUGCAGCAAGGAGAAAUGGUGUGCCACACUGGGCAGAGCUUGAGCAUAGGAGAUUUCAGAGCCUGCCCCCACAGUGGCAUUAUUGCUCAAAAAAGGCCAAAUCUCCUGUGGACUGCAAUCACACGAGUCUAUGGUGGCCAUUCCUAUUAAAACCGCUAUACAGAAUGCCCUGAGUUCUGUUCCAGUUGCCACAGGUGGUGGCUCACUGCUACCUGCUACUCCAGCCCCAGGGCAGUGUGACACAUCUGGCCUCAGGCACUUGAAUGAAAUGCAUGUGCUCAUGGUGACAGACUUAAUGCACCUAACCUAAGUAGCACUGAAAGAGUGUAAGAAAAGGAUUGCCAGAAAAAAAUAGGUAAUUACUACAUUGGAUAACAGGCAUUUUUUACAACCUUCACAGUGCUCUGAAAAGUCUCAAAAGGUGUGUGGGAAUAGUCUUGCCAGUCAUUAAAAAUGAACUCAGCUAAUUGGAGACAAUCACUUCAUAUUUACAAAGACUUUCUGAUUGUUGUUGGACAAACCCACGAACUAGAGACACUGCUGCAUGGAUAAAAAUUAUAUUGUAGAAUUGAUAUUGGCUUCAUCUCAGUGAAAACUAUCCCCUGUAUGUAGUCAAAUUAUUCCUCAGAGUUGAUGCUUAUAAUUAUUUGUCAAGUUGGACCAAAUGCACUUUUACUUUGAUUUGCAGCACAUUUAAUAGAUUAAGUAGGAGAGAAUAGAUUUCUUUAAAACUGAGCCUUCCUAUACAACCUCAAGGUGGUGAUCAUCUUGACUAACACAUCAAAUGUAUCUUCUGAAGAGUUUCGUCUACAGAGUCUCCUAAGUACAGUUUUACAUUUAUUGUUUCUGCAGUAUUAUUUUGCUUUUAUUAUCUCACAACUUUUAAGAAAGACUGUCAAGGAAUAGAAAUGACCUGCUUUUGGCAAGUAAUUGCUUGGAAUGUUCAGUACUUCUGGUUUCAGUCUAUCUUGUACUCCUAUAUUAUAUGUUGCCAAUUAUCUUUUUUAUUUUACUUUGCAAAUAGAAGAGAGUUUUAUGUAUAGAUGGUAUAGGGAAUGAUACUUCAGAUUGUAACAAAGUUUUCUGAGUGAGUCUCCCUGUAUUCCAGUUUUGUUAUCAUUUGUGAGAUGGAUUCCUCCUGCUUUGAACAAGAAACUCAAAAUUUUAGGCAGGUUGCAAAAAAAAAAAAAGAUUGUCACGUCAUGCAUAUUGGUAUUCUCUAUAGGAAAUUUUCUGGUUGUUGUUUUUGCUGAUAUUACUGGCUUCUAUCUGGUGCAGUAAUAUGAAUCUCUGUGGCUUGCUUUUUCUCCAAUAUCCAGAUUUCAGUGUCAUUUUAACUGUGAGUGUGUAGAGAAUUGUGCUUGCAUUGAUAAGGAGAGCUGAGGUGAUACUAUCUUGUAAAGUGUGUGGCAUAAUAAUUUUAUUGGAAUCACCUUUCAGGUUAGAGUAUCAAUGAGAUUUUAGUUUAUUCCAUAAUAUGGUGUUUUUCUCUUUCUGGUUAAAUUAAGUAAAGUCAAUAUGAAGUACUGUUUAUUUUAUCUACUAGUUGUCUGUUUCUAGACCAUAAGCCAUAUUGUUCAUUAAAAAAGUACUGUCAGCAUUUCUCAACCCAUUUCAAUAACUGUUAAGAGUAAAAAUAAUUGCUAAGAGUUUUUAAAGUGUGUAGGCAUGAAUGCCUGUAUGUGAGUGUGUGCCUGACAGAUGUCUGUAGAGGUCAGAAAUGAAAGUCAGAUCCCCUGGAUCUGAAGUUUCAGGUUAGCCAUGAUCACUCGGCCCCAGAUAUUUUAAGAUUGCAUAAAAAUUCCUUUCUUCGAAGAAUUUUGUCGUUUGCUAACAUUAUUUAAUAGGGGCCAGCAAUAUGAAUCAAUGCAAAAAGGGGUUCUUCAUCCAAUCCUGGCAACUCCUAUUGGAUCACUGUAACCCAGGUUAUAUGUAGGAUAGGAUAUAGCAGUGAACAGACAACUUAAUAAAAUUGUUUUAAGUCUCAUAAAUUUGUAGUACAACCCAUGUGUUGUUACAUAUUAUAUUAUUACAUUUUAUAUUUCCAUUUUAGCUAGAUUCUGAGGUAUAACCUGUGUUCUUUUUAUAAUACUCACUUAUUUUACAUACAGUGGUAUUCUUUUUUAAUUACAAAGUUAAAUUGUUGUAUUUCACUUAAUCUCUUAUGUUAACAUUUUCUGAGUUCAGAUUGAUCAUGACUCUAAUCAGACACAGUAACUGUGUAAUGCAGAAGGUAAUAGAGUUUAUUAGGUUGUGUUGGGGGUCAUAAAACUUUGUGAGUAAGGCUCCAGAUUUACAGAUCAUAUUUUUGCAACUAGGAAUCUGUUCUUGCAGAACAACAGCACCUAUGGCUAUUUCUUAAACUAUGCCCCAUAAAUAGUUGCAGCACACUAAUCAUGGUACAGAAUUGGACUUUAGCAGAUAGUUUUCUAACCUUUAGCCUACUUUAUAGGUGUAGUUUCAUCCACAGGAUCUUUGGAAGAUUUAGAAACAGAAAAUGCACACACACACACACACAAAUGUCUUUCCUUGUAGUAGUUGCUGAAUCCAUUCAGUGGUUCUCAACCUGUGGGUCCAGAUUAUUUUUGGGUGGCAAACAACCUUUUCACAGGGGUAUAUAAGACCAUUGGAGAAUACAGAUAUAUUGCAUUACAUAACAGUUAUGAAGUAGUAAUAAAAAUCAUUUAUUGGUUGGGGAUCACUACAACAUGAAGAUCUGUGUUAAAGUGUCACAGAGUUAGAAAGGUUGAGAACCACUGACCUACACUAUAUUGUUAUAUUUAUUAGUGGGAGAAAUAUUUGUGCUUUUUGAUACUUGGCUCUUAAAAUGUUGUAUUCAUAAAGUUACAUGCCUCAGUGGAUUGAAAUGUUACCAUCAGCAGUGUUUAAAGCAUUUUAUAGUCAUUUAUUCUUAAUCUUCUAUUCUGUUUCAUAGCAGUGAUAAGAGAUAAGCUUUCACGGUAUAUAUAAUAAUAACUUUUAAUGUUUAUAUAAAUGUAUGUGGAGUUUUUAGAUGUAUGAUCUUUGUAUUAAUGCUUUUAAACUGUCUAGUUAAGAUAUCAUGGAGGUUUAAAAAGUUUAUAAAAAUGUGCUUUGCUACUACAUGUGAUGCUGCUGCUGAUGUUGUGUAUAAUUAUAUAAUUAUGUAUAUGAAAAUAUAUUUGAAUUCCUACUUGUUUAAUAAUUUUCCCUGUGUGGUAAUAUUAGAUAAUCAUCUGUAUACACCUUUGGUUGCUGUCAAUAUUGUGAAAUCGCCAUUAAAUGCUUUCUGGGAAAACCAGAGCAGUAGUGUAAUUACAGUGCUAAUUUUCAUAGAUUUGUUCUAGGUGUAAAUGGCCUUUUAUAUAAUAGCCAAUCUAAUAGGUGAAAUAGUACUUUUAAAACUAAGGACUAAUUUUAAUGUUAAAUGGACAUGAUUUUAUGAAAUUAGUUUUUUUAGAUUUAAAAACCACUAAAUGUUUCACAAUUUUUGCAUUUUUCAUAAAUUUCUUGAGUAUAUGCUAUAUUAACAAGUUUUUUCUUUUUUCUUUUGAUAUUAUUUUAGAGCUUUAUGCUUUUUAUCUAGUCUGACAUACUUUCUACAUUCUCUCACUUUUCAUUCCUUUUCCUCUUUCCCUCACUUUUCUUCUCAUGUUAUUUCUUUUUAUACAUGAAUUUAUUUUCUGAACUACGUAUUCAUUUAAGAUAUGGUGUUCAAAUUGCCCAGUAUUUUUCUGCAUGUACUUUAUAAAAGUAUGUGUUCCUUUAAAACUAACAUAAAAUUUAAGAACAUCUGUUUGCUGUGUCCAAUUCUGACAUUCAUUAUAUUAAAUUAUAUAUUAUAUUAUAUUAUAUUAUAUUAUAUUAUAUUAUAUUAUAUUAUAUUACGUUUCCUUCGAAGACUGUUUUCUAAUGAGAGAGAGAAAAAGGUAGUCCCCAUUGGGAAGAAAAGUGGAGAGGAAUUGAGACUAGUAGAGGUAGGGGAAACCGUAUAUAGAAUAUAUUUUGUGAAAUAAAAUGAAGAGAAAUGAAAAUUAAGACUAUCAGAUGCAUCAUCAGUAGCCUAAAAGUAGGCCAUAUGCAUUGUGUCUAUUUAUAUUUCACUAGUUGGUGUAGUCUUUUUAUUUUCUGUGGUAUCAAAUAGUAUUCGCAGUAGGCAUGUCAUUUUUAUAUUAUUUAAUUAGAAUCAAUUAUUUGUCUAUCUUGGUCCUUGGUAGCACUGGUGUUCUUGAGAAAUAGCACCUUUCAGAUUUUGAGAUUCCUUGGCUUCUGAUUUUUUUAUACUUGUGAAAGGAUUGAGGGCACAUAUUUAUCUUGGAUAUAUGUCAGAAUAUAUGUGUGUUGUCUUCAAUAAAUCAUACCAAGUUUAAAUGUUUAUGGUUUCAAUAUAGCUGGUCAUUUAGUUUAAUUGGAAGUGACCACUUUCUUGAAUGCUAAAGUUAAUUCAGAAAACAUUAUAUAGAGAGAUAAAGGGCCACUUGCCAUUAUGUAAAUCUCUUUAUAAUCAAACUUUAACAGUAUCAAUUUAAAUACUCCUGUGUUUUUAUUUUUGUAUACUGGAAGAAAAAAAUGUUGUCAGAUCUUCUCUGAAAGUCUGGUAGAACUCUUUUUUGAAAGAAUCUGAGCCUGGGAUUUUUGCUUCUCUAUCCUUAUCCUUGUUUAUUUCAAGUUUGUUGAUCUGUUGAUCUCUUUUUGGUUUAACUUUGGUGGUUUGGCAAAAUCUAAGAAUUCACUCAGUUGUUUUAGCUUCAGACUUUAGAUUUCUGACAUGAUAAAUUAUGUUUUUUUAAUUUUUUUGUUUUAAACUAAUUAAUUGACUUUACAUCCUAAUUGUAGUCCCCUUCCUCCUCUCCUCACAUUCCCACACUUUCUCCCUUCCCUCCAUUCCCCUACUCCUCGAAAAAUGGGAGCUCCCCAACCCCUCCCAGCACAUCAAGUCACAUCAGGACAGAGUGCAUGCUCUUCCUCUGUGGCCUGGCAAGGUAGCCCAGCCAGGGGGAUAUGAUCAAAUAGCAAACAGCAGAGUCCAUAUCAGAUAAAGCCCUUGCUACCCUUACUAGGGAACCCACAAGAAGACCUUGCUGUUCUUCAGCUACAUAUGUGUAGGUGGCCUGGGUCUAGUCCAUGCAUGAUCCUUGGUUGGUGUUUCUUUGUCUGUGACCCCUGCUAAUAAGAGUCUCAGCUAAAGUCACCCCUCGAUUAUAUGUUUUUAAAGUGUUCCCUCACUGUUUGUUAUAUUUCCCUAUUCAUCUCUGAUUCCAGUUACUUGGGUCAUUUUUUGGUUAAUUGAGCCAAGAGUCUAUCAAAUUAGUUCAUCAAAGUAGAUUAAUUUCAAAGAAUCAGCUAAUUGAUUCUGUAUAUUUGUCCCAUUUCAUUCAUUUCUUGCAAUAUAUUGAAUUCAUGAUUGUCUUGUUUUUGUUUUUCCAAAUUCUUGAACUAUAUUACUAUGUCAUUUAUUUGUACUGUUUUUGUUUUGUUGUUGUUGUUUUUGAGAGAUGGUCUGCUUAUGUUACCUGGUGUUAUGGGAUCUUUCAGAAACGAGGAAACAGCCAGACAGGUUAGCACAUACCUGUAAUCACAGUGUAUGGACAGGAGUAGCAUGAGUUUCAGAUAAACUGCAGCUGAAUAGCAAUAGUAUGUAUUAACCAAUAAAGAAAAACAAAAAAUUAUGAUUAUUAUAUUAGAUAAAACUACUUUUCUCAGUAUAAGAGAGGGAGAGAAAUUCUGAGAGUUUGCUAUUAUAUUAACCCCUUAACAUAACACUUGACUUAUGAAAUUAAAGCUCCAGAUAGUUUGGAGAAACAAUAGUUUGUUUUAAUCAGUAUGAGAUUUUUCUUGUCAUCAUGACAAACAUGAGAUCUAGUGACAGUGAAUAUGAAAGGAGAAAAAGCUGUUUGAAAUAUUACCUUAGAUGCCUUAGCAUGGAGGUAUUGAGAAAUUAAUCAUUCCCUUGUGUAUCUUUAUCAUGUGAGUUUCUACUUGUAUUGUUUUUGUUUGCAUGCAUUGUAAAAUGUAAAGGCCCAAUCCUUAAUCCUUUAGGUUUACUCAUUAAAAACAAAAAAAAUGUGGUAUGCUUGAAUAUAAACUAAGAAUGAAACUCAAAAGCUAAUGAGAUAGUAAUUGGAUUUUGUGUGGCAAUGAAAAUCAUAGUUUACAAAUAUAAAUUUUAUCACCAUUUUUUUGGUAAAAGUGCUGUGUGUUGAGGGGAGAAACUGGUCCAGUUCAAAUUCCAAGGAUAACACUGAAUUCAUAGAUUGUCCUUUGAUAGUGACAUCUGUAUCAUCUUAACCCCAAAAUAUGCUCACACCUUGUGAGGUUCUUUAAAAAAGUUAUUUAAUUUUUUUUCAUAAAAAAUCAUUUUGGAGCCAGGUGGUAGUGGCACAUGCCUUUAUUCCCAGCAUUUGGGAAGCAGAGCCAGGCAAAUCUCUGGGUUAAAGGCCGGCCUGGUCUGUAGUGUGAGUUCCAGGACACCCUAGACUACACAGAGAAACCCUGUCUCAAAAAAUAAACAAACAAAAAAAAACAAUCAAACAAAAAUAAAAUAAUUUUGAUCAUAUUUUCCUCCCCCUGUUACUCCUCGUUACUUCUGUUCUCCCUACCCACCAAAUGUUAUGUUCCUUAUCACUGAUUUUGUGUGAAAAAAGGAAAUAUAUAUUCUAGUGUAUAAUUUGACAUUUUUUUUCAGUAUUUCAUGUUGUUUUUGUAAUUACACAAAUAUAUUUCUUUACCAUCACAGAAUUCUAAUAAUAAUAUUCUGUUCAACUAUAUCCUUUAAAUUCCCAUUUGCAUUGUUUCUUUUGCAUCUUGCAUCCAUUGGAUAAUAUAUUUUGAAGCAUGGUUGUUGAACUACUUAGAGAUAUGGAUUUUGUGAAAAUUUUAGGGAAGUUUGUUGAGUAAUGAAAUAGGUGAGAGGUCAACUAAAAUAAAAACUAAUAAUUCUAAUGAUACAUGAAUAAAGGAGUCAAGAAUAUGUGUUGUCAGAAGUUAAGGGAGUAGAUUAGGGUAGAAUGAAUACAAGGUAGAACUUGAUAGAAAUUGCAAAACUGAGUUUUGCCCAAAUUGAAGUAUAUUUUUUCUGAAAGACAGUAAAUGACGAUGCCAUAAGUAAAGUUAGGAGAAAGACUGUGGAAGAUAUUCUUCUCAUUUGCAUCAGGAGAGUUGUGAACCAUAUCUCCAGAAAUACAUAGUAAAUUAUCAUUUUAUACGGGCUUAGAAAUGAGUAACUAUUAUUUAACAUAUCAGGAUUUAACCAUGCAAUGUAUGAGUUUUGUCUCUGACCUUACAUUUUCAUUUACUUCAUCUUUUACUUAUUUAUUUUUAGGAAACUAAAGAUUAUGACCUCCUAUUGACAGGUAUAGGAGUCAUUUCCCCUGGAAAAAAUAAUAUUUGCUGUUUGCUCCCUAACAAAGGAUUCAUUCUAGCCCUAUUUAUAUUCUUGUAGUUUAAAUAUUUUCUUUUUGUAGAGAGGCUGUAAAUUGGACAUUGAUUUAAAACAAUACAGGACAAAAUGUCAGCAAAGAACACUGCUUUUAAACUUUUAUAGAGAACACUGUAGUUAAACCAUUAUGUCUAACUUCAGACAUAACAUUCAUUUUUCACUUGAUGCUAUGUGUUUAUUGCUAUUUUUGACCUAAGUUUUUUUAAUGUACUUAUAUUUUUAAUUAUGUAUAUUCAUGUGUAGGUGUGUGUGGGUAUGGGUGUUUGAGUGAAGAUUCCUACCUAUAGAGAGCAGAAGAGGGUAUCAGGCCUCCAGAAGACAAAAUAUAGGUUUCUAUGAGCUGGCCAACAAGGGUGCUGGGAGAGAACGUCAGUUCCUCUCUAAGCAGAAUUUAAGCUCUUAUCCACUGACAAAUCUCUUCCAUCCUGACCUAAGUUUUUAAACUUAUUUGUCUAGGUAUCUCACCUACCAUGAUGGGUAUUUCCUAAAAAUACUUUUCAUUUGUGAGCCAGUUCAAUUAUUUAGUAAUGGAAUCCAAACAGUACUAAAGAAAUAUCUACUGAUAUGUGACAGACUGGAAAAACGUAUUUAGUAGGGCCUCAUGGGACAUACCUUUAAUCUCAGCACUCCAAAGGCAGCAGACCUCUGUGAGAUUGAGGCCAGUCUGGUCUAUACAGUGAGUUCUAGGACAGCUGGGGCUACUCAGUAGAGAAAGCAUAUCUCAAAAAACUGGAAAAUAAUAUGUUGCAAAUUAGAUAUCUAUGUCUUACUCUAUGUUUUAUUGCUAUGAAGAGACACCAUGACCAUAGCAACAGUUACAAAGGGAAACAUUUCAUUGGGGCUGGCUUACAGUUUCAGAGGUUUAUAGCAUUAAUGUCAUAUUGGGGAAAAAUAGUGUCCAGGCAGAAACAGUGCUGGGGAAGGAGCUGAGAAUUCUAAUCUUGAUCCACAGACAGCAGAAGGAGACUGUGUGCCAUACUGGAUGUAGCUUGUGCCUAGGAAUCCUCAAAACCUGCCCCACAGUGAUGCACUUCCUCCAAUAAGGCCACACCUACUCCAACAAGGUCACAACUGUUAACAGUGCCUCUCCCCAUGGGCCAAGCAUUCAAACACAUGAGUCUAUUCAAACUACCACACCACAUAACAAAAGGAAACAGGAGCUGUUUGUCAAAAAGAGAAGGAAUGGUCCUCUGUUGGGAGAUUUUUCAGAGGCUAGAAACAGCACGAUUCCCCAUAAGCAAUAUUUGACCAAAUUUGUACAGUUAUAGGUACUUUCUUGCAUUUUGAGUUGGCUUCUCCUGAACUUUAUGAGUAAAAAUAAUGUUUUUAUGAUGUUAUUACCUUUGUAAAAUUGAAUUGUCUUAGUUCAAUUUUGAGUAGUACCAGAUUUACAAAAACCAUUUCUUGUUCAUUCAUGAUUAGCUUCACUAAUAUUAUUGUGUGGGAUCCCACACUCAUUCUUCCUGUAUCUAAUGUAGAAGUUAUGGUUUGUGCAUAUUUUACUGGAUUAGUAUAUUUGGUGAGAUUUGUUGAGAAGCACUGAGACAUGAAAUACAGGUAAGAUUAAGAUGCCUUAAUGUAUAUAACUAUAUGUGUUUAGUCAUUUUUACAUUUUUCUCUCAUUCAUGUUUUUAAACAUUUGUGUUUAUACAUUUAUCGGUACAUCUUUGGUUCACUUUAUGUCUAGUAUUUUGUCUCCUUUACCCAAAAUAAAUAUAAUGAGCUCCUACUUGACAGGGAUUAUUUUUUUUUCUAUUAUAUAACACUUUUUUUUAAAGGAGAGAAGAAAUUUGGUUAAAGUUUAUUAAAUACGUAUGUGAAAGAAGGAAUGAAAAAAAAACUGUGACUAAUGCUAUAAUAUAGCAAUAAAAAAGACAGACUUAGAUUUUGAUAGAAAUGCAAUUAUGUAAAAAGUAGUGUAAUCAUUUAAUAAUUACUAACAUUUGUUAGGGUUUCAAAGAUCAUAUAAAAUGUCUUGAUUGUUUCUCUGGAGUCUUAUUUCUAUAGUUGUUUAGUGAAUUGCUAUAUAAUUCUUAUUUGUUUACAACUCCAUCUUUUCCAACCCUUCUAACCUUUGCAGAGAAUUGAGAGGGUUAUCAUAGGCAAUAGUUUUGGAUUUAAUUGAGGUUGUCAGGGAAAAGUUUCCAGGAAUAUUGUGAAACAAUGAAAGUAAAAGGGUGUUUUUGCUGUUUUUAAUGAUACUUUCAAAACCGUUUUGAGAAAUCUGAAUGCUGAGUUUUGGGACUUAGCUCUUAGUCAAAAUUUUAUAUGUAUUCUAACAUUUUCCAAUUUGUACAUUUACUUAAAUAUUAAUUUAUUAUUUAUUGAAGGACAUCUUGUAUUACAGUAUGUUAGGUGAUGUUAUUCAUCCUUACUUUCUCUCACACACUCUGCCUCUCUUACAUAAUGCACAUAGGCUUUGUCACUAUUUUAAAGUAGCCAAUUUUAAAGUUCUGUUUCACCCUCCUAUGUUCUGGGAUUGCUAAUUUGUCCCACCACACAAGCUUCUAAAUUUUUUUGUGUAUAAUUAUGUUUAAUUACAUUUAUUUCUGUCUAUGAGAAAGACUAUGUCUAAGUAUACAUAUAUCUGGCUUGCUUGGAACUCUUUGUGUAGACCAAGUUGACAUCAAACUCAUAGAGAUCUGCCUUUCUCUGCCUCCAAAUAUUGGGAUUAAAUAUCAUCCAUCUCUUUUUAUGCUAAUAUAUUCUCACAUUUAAUUCAUUAUUGAAAGAUAAAUGCAGGAUUAAUGUUAAAAUGUAUAUAGUUCUAUUUUUUAGAACUUAUUGAUUGAAAUUCUGAGAAUAUUUGAAUAAUUGUUCUUCAUCAUAACAUUUUCCCCCAAUUUAAGAGUUUCCUAGCAUCUUUGCUAUUGCAAAAUUCCUGUUAACAUUAACUUCCUUUCAUGUGAUUUUCUUCUAAUCCUUUGGGUGUUGAGUUUCUGUGUAUUUGAGCAUGACAUUGAAUUCUUGGAAAUGUGUCUAUGCUUUGGCUUUUGUGGAAAACUGAAUUAAAAUGUAAUAGUUUGUUUGAGUAGUUGGUAUAGCAGGUAGCUGUAAGAGAAGUUUUAGUUGUUAAAACAGAGUAUGAGCAAGUUAAAGUUAUUAUUUAACUAUGAAGAGUCAUUAAUUAGUUUCUGUCACUGUUUUUAUUUUCUUCAUGGUUUUGAUAAAAUGAGCUCCUUUGACAGGGAAUUAAAUUGUUGGAAGGUAUUUUGAGAAUUUAUUAUAAAAACAUUUUUUCAUACUAGUUUUGCUUUCUUAUUAAUUAAAAUAUUAAACAAUUUAAAUUGGGAAUGCCUGAGUAUUAGAAAAACGCUAAAAGUAGGAAGAAUUAAUGAGAGAAAUAUAGUUAAAAAAAAGAAAUACAGUUUUAAUUAAUUGAGAACAAAUUGACUAAAGCAGAUUUUAACAUUUAGUUUUUUUUAUCAAGUGUCACUUUUUAGAGUGAUUAUGUUGAUCAUAUAUACAAUCAUUAUUAUAUAAGUCACAUUAAUUAUUAGCAUUAUGUAAGAAACUAGAAAGAUAAAAGUCUUUCUAUAGUUAUGGCUCAUGAAUUAAUUUCCAGAAGUAUACCUAACCACAUUUUCUCUUUUAAGUUUCUAAUUUAGUGGGCAUUAUCUUUUUAUAUCUUACAAUUCAUCACAUUUAUAUGUAAGUCUUAUUUCACAGCACCAUUUGUUUUCAUCUUUAUCCCUUGAAUAGUGACUAAAGCACUUCAGUGAAAAUUACUACAGAAAAAUUAAAUUAAAGUCAAUAGUGCAUGCAACAAGUGGGUCAUAUUUAUUCUAAUUAUGUUUUAUUUUCCAAAUUUAUUCAUGUCUGUGAAAUCUGGCUCUAAAGGAUAAAUCUACAGAGAAAAGAAGAAUCUAGAAUUGUUAACUUAAAAUUAACUUGUAACUAAUUCUCAUUUUGCCAUCAAUUACUUAUUCAAAAUAUACUUAGUAUAUUAUCUGAAAGCAUCACCUAAAUCAAUUCGAAAAAAGAAUCCUAUGAGUAAGUGGAAAAGUACAUAAAUGAAUGACUCAGAAAUGAAUGACGCAUGUUAUAAAUGGCCACAAUAAUAAAAUACAUUCAAUCAUGUUCAUAUUUAUUCCUAAAUAAUUAAAUUAUAUAUAAAAUGAGAUCUAAAGGAUAAAACGAAUUUUUCUUUUUUUCACCUAUCAGAUUUGCAUAAAUAAUUGGGAACAAAAUUUUAAAAAAUUUCUGAUAAUGUUGAAAAACUUAAUUAAGUUGGAGAUAUAUGAUGAAAAUUAGCACAUUUUUGUCACCAACUUUACUUUUAGAUAAUUAGUUAUGGUAUCUAACUAGAAACUUAAAAUAUAUGUAAUAUUGAGUAUUCACAGUAAAUGAUUAUUAUGCUUGUAAUUAUUAGUUAACAUGUGAUGAGUCAUAAUUCUAUUUAUCUGCUUCAAUUUUGUUCAGUUAUUAUGAUAAGGUUUGUUCAGAUAAACUGACAAAAGUCACAGUUUGAAAAAAGUUCAUUCAUUUGUUGCUGAGUACCAGAUAUUUCUGAAGCAUUGAUGUAUUGAUUAAUAUCAAAUGUUAUAUGCCGAUUUUCAUUAUGUGAUUAAUAAACCAGUUUUAUGCAGAGAUAUUUAAAAAUA